rnacentral:rRNA from 1 species
AUGUCAAGAAGGGGAGAGUUAACUCUGCCAAUUCCAUCACAUGAUGAGGACUUCCCUGUAGUGCAGUAUGCAGAUGAUACCCUGCUUGUGGUUCCUGCUGUGGAACCCCAGCUCCUAGCCCUCAAGAAUAUGCUCAGAACCUUUUCUGAAUCCACUGGACUGAAAGUUAAUUUUCAUAAAUCUUCAAUCAUACCCAUUAAUGUGGACAACACUGAAACAAGGAGACUAGCAGAUGUUUUUGGGUGUCAGGUUGGCUCACUACCUUUUACAUAUUUAGGGUUGCCACUUGGAACAACCAGGCCCAGGAUACAGGACCUGGUACCAGUUGUACAGAGAGUUGAGAGAAGACUGUCAGCUAGUUCAUCUCUUCUAUCUCGGGGAGCCAGACUUCAGUUAGUACAGUCAGUACUUUCUUCUAUGCCAAUAUACUUUCUUUGCAGCCUGUGUCUGCCUGAUGGUAUAAUCAAGCAAUUGGAAAGAAUUAUGAGGCAAUGUUUAUGGAGAGGAAACUGUGACACUCCAAGACAGCCAUUGGCUCCAUUGCCUCUAGUGUGUAGGCCCAAAGUAAAUGGGGGCAUGGGAAUUAUAAACCUUAGUAUCCAAAACAUAGCUCUUCUCACCAAACAUCUUUUUAAGUUCUAUAACAAGGUUGAUAUCCCAUGGGUGAAUCUCAUGUGGAAUUCUUACUAUGAACGGAUAGUACCUCAUGCUACAGUCCUUUGUGGAUCUUUUUGGUGGAGAGAUGUGCUUAAACUGAGUGAAAUAUUCGGACUUCACUCUAUGGUUAAUGUCAAUUGGGAGACACAACACUAUUCUGGCAUGAUGCUUGGUCUUUCUUGGGUGCUGCAACCCCUCUCAAGGACAGAUUUCCAAGGAUUUUUUCGUAUGUGA